GGCUAAAGUAGUUCCAGACAGGUCUUGACUGCAUUACAGUUGCGUAAGAAAUUAGUCCUACAUACAAGAGCAUUUUAAUGACAAAACUUGACAAACGUCUUGAAAUACAUAAUCUGAACAAUGUUUCGAGGUGUGGUAACUGUAGUAUAAGUGAAAUAAUUGACUCCAGGCCAUUGAAUUAUUAGAAAAAAAAAUAAUGCACGCACGAGGUGUAACGG